CGUUAACCUCGAUGCACUUUUUCGCUCGAAACAAAACGGCAAGAAAAUCAUGUGGGCCCCACGGCCUUACACUUGGAUUGGCCGCGAAAAGGAUAUAUAGAAACGAGAGUGAUGUACUGACGGGUGCGAUCAUACCAGCACUAAUGCACCGGAUCCCAUCAGAACUCCGCAGUUAAGCGUGCUUGGGCGAGAGUAGUACUAGGAUGGGUGACCUCCCGGGAAGUCCUCGUGUUGCACCCCUUUUUAUUUUUUAAUUUUUUUUUAGCCUAAAACGAGUCUAAACUUGAAAACCUCAUAACUUUUGAACCGUGAGGAACUACGUCGCCCAUAGCACCAUUUCGGAGAGCCCCAGAAACCAUAAUGGGGCGGUGAAUAGGGGGCGCAAUUUUUCGGGCUCAAAUUCAGCCGUUUUGACCCUCAAACGGGCUGCGGAAAGUUAUGGCACGUAAAAAAGAUCGAAAGCGGAUUCUCAAGGUGUUUUUGAUGCUUUCUUAACGCCGUUAACCUCGAUGCACUUUUUCGCUCGAAACAAAACGGCAAGAAAAUCAUGCGCGCCCCACGGCCUUACACUUGGAUUGGCCGCGAAAAGGAUAUAUAGAAACGAGAGUGAUGUACUGACGGGUGCGAUCAUACCAGCACUAAUGCACCGGAUCCCAUCAGAACUCCGCAGUUAAGCGUGCUUGGGCGAGAGUAGUACUAGGAUGGGUGACCUCCCGGGAAGUCCUCGUGUUGCACCCCUUUUUAUUUUUUAUUUUUUUUUUAGCCUAAAACGAGUCUAAACUUGAAAACCUCAUAACUUUUGAACCGUGAGGAACUACGUCGCCCAUAGCACCAUUUCGGAAGAGCCCCAGAAACCAUAAUGGGCGGUGAAUAGGGGGCGCAAUUUUUCGGGCUCAAAUUCAGCCGUUUUGACCCUCAAACGGGCUGCGGAAAGUUAUGGCACGUAAAAAAGAUCGAAAGCGGAUUCUCAAGGUGUUUUUGAUGCUUUCUUAACGCCGUUAACCUCGAUGCACUUUUUCGCUCGAAACAAAACGGCAAGAAAAUCAUGCGCGCCCCACGGCCUUACACUUGGAUUGGCCGCGAAAAGGAUAUAUAGAAACGAGAGUGAUGUACUGACGGGUGCGAUCAUACCAGCACUAAUGCACCGGAUCCCAUCAGAACUCCGCAGCUAAGCGUGCUUGGGCGAGAGUAGUACUAGGAUGGGUGACCUCCCGGGAAGUCCUCGUGUUGCACCCCUUUUUAUUUUUUAAUUUUUUUUUUUGCCUAAAACGAGUCUAAACUUGAAAACCUCAUAACUUUUGAACCGUGAGGAACUACGUCGCCCAUAGCACCAUUUCGGAGAGCCCCAGAAACCAUAAUGGGCGGUGAAUAGGGGGCGCAAUUUUUCGGGCUCAAAUUCAGCCGUUUUGACCCUCAAACGGGCUGCGGAAAGUUAUGGCACGUAAAAAAGAUCGAAAGCGGAUUCUCAAGGUGUUUUUGAUGCUUUCUUAACGCCGUUAACCUCGAUGCACUUUUUCGCUCGAAACAAAACGGCAAGAAAAUCAUGCGCGCCCCACGGCCUUACACUUGGAUUGGCCGCGAAAAGGAUAUAUAGAAACGAGAGUGAUGUACUGACGGGUGCGAUCAUACCAGCACUAAUGCACCGGAUCCCAUCAGAACUCCGCAGUUAAGCGUGCUUGGGCGAGAGUAGUACUAGGAUGGGUGACCUCCCGGGAAGUCCUCGUGUUGCACCCCUUUUUAUUUUUUAAUUUUUUUUUAGCCUAAAACGAGUCUAAACUUGAAAACCUCAUAACUUUUGAACCGUGAGGAACUACGUCGCCCAUAGCACCAUUUCGGAGAGCCCCAGAAACCAUAAUGGGCGGUGAAUAGGGGGCGCAAUUUUUCGGGCUCAAAUUCAGCCGUUUUGACCCUCAAACGGGCUGCGGAAAGUUAUGGCACGUAAAAAAGAUCGAAAGCGGAUUCUCAAGGUGUUUUUGAUGCUUUCUUAACGCCGUUAACCUCGAUGCACUUUUUCGCUCGAAACAAAACGGCAAGAAAAUCAUGCGCGCCCCACGGCCUUACACUUGGAUUGGCCGCGAAAAGGAUAUAUAGAAACGAGAGUGAUGUACUGACGGGUGCGAUCAUACCAGCACUAAUGCACCGGAUCCCAUCAGAACUCCGCAGUUAAGCGUGCUUGGGCGAGAGUAGUACUAGGAUGGGUGACCUCCCGGGAAGUCCUCGUGUUGCACCCCUUUUUAUUUUUUAAUUUUUUUUAGCCUAAAACGAGUCUAAACUUGAAAACCUCAUAACUUUUGAACCGUGAGGAACUACGUCGCCCAUAGCACCAUUUCGGAGAGCCCCAGAAACCAUAAUGGGCGGUGAAUAGGGGGCGCAAUUUUUCGGGCUCAAAUUCAGCCGUUUUGACCCUCAAACGGGCUGCGGAAAGUUAUGGCACGUAAAAAAGAUCGAAAGCGGAUUCUCAAGGUGUUUUUGAUGCUUUCUUAACGCCGUUAACCUCGAUGCACUUUUUCGCUCGAAACAAAACGGCAAGAAAAUCAUGCGCGCCCACGGCCUUACACUUGGAUUGGCCGCGAAAAGGAUAUAUAGAAACGAGAGUGAUGUACUGACGGGUGCGAUCAUACCAGCACUAAUGCACCGGAUCCCAUCAGAACUCCGCAGUAAGCGUGCUUGGGCGAGAGUAGUACUAGGAUGGGUGACCUCCCGGGAAGUCCUCGUGUUGCACCCCUUUUUAUUUUUUAAUUUUUUUUUAGCCUAAAACGAGUCUAAACUUGAAAACCUCAUAACUUUUGAACCGUGAGGAACUACGUCGCCCAUAGCACCAUUUCGGAGAGCCCCAGAAACCAUAAUGGGCGGUGAAUAGGGGGCGCAAUUUUUCGGGCUCAAAUUCAGCCGUUUUGACCCUCAAACGGGCUGCGGAAAGUUAUGGCACGUAAAAAAGAUCGAAAGCGGAUUCUCAAGGUGUUUUUGAUGCUUUCUUAACGCCGUUAACCUCGAUGCACUUUUUCGCUCGAAACAAAACGGCAAGAAAAUCAUGCGCGCCCCACGGCCUUACACUUGGAUUGGCCGCGAAAAGGAUAUAUAGAAACGAGAGUGAUGUACUGACGGGUGCGAUCAUACCAGCACUAAUGCACCGGAUCCCAUCAGAACUCCGCAGUUAAGCGUGCUUGGGCGAGAGUAGUACUAGGAUGGGUGACCUCCCGGGAAGUCCUCGUGUUGCACCCCUUUUUAUUUUUAAUUUUUUUUUAGCCUAAAACGAGUCUAAACUUGAAAACCUCAUAACUUUUGAACCGUGAGGAACUACGUCGCCCAUAGCACCAUUUCGGAAAGCCCCAGAAACCAUAAUGGGCGGUGAAUAGGGGGCGCAAUUUUUCGGGCUCAAAUUCAGCCGUUUUGACCCUCAAACGGGCUGCGGAAAGUUAUGGCACGUAAAAAAGAUCGAAAGCGGAUUCUCAAGGUGUUUUUGAUGCUUUCUUAACGCCGUUAACCUCGAUGCACUUUUUCGCUCGAAACAAAACGGCAAGAAAAUCAUGCGCGCCCCACGGCCUUACACUUGGAUUGGCCGCGAAAAGGAUAUAUAGAAACGAGAGUGAUGUACUGACGGGUGCGAUCAUACCAGCACUAAUGCACCGGAUCCCAUCAGAACUCCGCAGUUAAGCGUGCUUGGCGCGAGAGUAGUACUAGGAUGGGUGACCUCCCGGGAAGUCCUCGUGUUGCACCCCUUUUUAUUUUUUAAUUUUUUUUUGCCUAAAACGAGUCUAAACUUGAAAACCUCAUAACUUUUGAACCGUGAGGAACUACGUCGCCCAUAGCACCAUUUCGGAGAGCCCCAGAAACCAUAAUGGGCGGUGAAUAGGGGGCGCAAUUUUUCGGGCUCAAAUUCAGCCGUUUUGACCCUCAAACGGGCUGCGGAAAGUUAUGGCACGUAAAAAAGAUCGAAAGCGGAUUCUCAAGGUGUUUUUGAUGCUUUCUUAACGCCGUUAACCUCGAUGCACUUUUUCGCUCGAAACAAAACGGCAAGAAAAUCAUGCGCGCCCACGGCCUUACACUUGGAUUGGCCGCGAAAAGGAUAUAUAGAAACGAGAGUGAUGUACUGACGGGUGCGAUCAUACCAGCACUAAUGCACCGGAUCCCAUCAGAACUCCGCAGUUAAGCGUGCUUGGGCGAGAGUAGUACUAGGAUGGGUGACCUCCCGGGAAGUCCUCGUGUUGCACCCCUUUUAUUUUUUAAUUUUUUUUUGCCUAAAACGAGUCUAAACUUGAAAACCUCAUAACUUUUGAACCGUGAGGAACUACGUCGCCCAUAGCACCAUUUCGGAGAGCCCCAGAAACCAUAAUGGGCGGGUGAAUAGGGGGCGCAAUUUUUCGGGCUCAAAUUCAGCCGUUUUGACCCUCAAACGGGCUGCGGAAAGUUAUGGCACGUAAAAAAGAUCGAAAGCGGAUUCUCAAGGUGUUUUUGAUGCUUUCUUAACGCCGUUAACCUCGAUGCACUUUUUCGCUCGAAACAAAACGGCAAGAAAAUCAUGCGCGCCCCACGGCCUUACACUUGGAUUGGCCGCGAAAAGGAUAUAUAGAAACGAGAGUGAUGUACUGACGGGUGCGAUCAUACCAGCACUAAUGCACCGGAUCCCAUCAGAACUCCGCAGUUAAGCGUGCUUGGGCGAGAGUAGUACUAGGAUGGGUGACCUCCCGGGAAGUCCUCGUGUUGCACCCCUUUUUUUUUAAAUUUUUUUUUAGCCUAAAACGAGUCUAAACUUGAAAACCUCAUAACUUUUGAACCGUGAGGAACUACGUCGCCCAUAGCACCAUUUCGGAGAGCCCCAGAAACCAUAAUGGGCGGGGAAUAGGGGGCGCAAUUUUUCGGGCUCAAAUUCAGCCGUUUUGACCCUCAAACGGGCUGCGGAAAGUUAUGUCACGUAAAAAAGAUCGAAAGCGGAUUCUCAAGGUGUUUUUGAUGCUUUCUUAACGCCGUUAACCUCGAUGCACUUUUUCGCUCGAAACAAAACGGCAAGAAAAUCAUGCGCGCCCCACGGCCUUACACUUGGAUUGGCCGCGAAAAGGAUAUAUAGAAACGAGAGUGAUGUACUGACGGGUGCGAUCAUACCAGCACUAAUGCACCGGAUCCCAUCAGAACUCCGCAGUUAAGCGUGCUUGGGCGAGAGUAGUACUAGGAUGGGUGACCUCCCGGGAAGUCCUCGUGUUGCACCCCUUUUUAUUUUUUAAUUUUUUUUUGCCUAAAACGAGUCUAAACUUGAAAACCUCAUAACUUUUGAACCGUGAGGAACUACGUCGCCCAUAGCACCAUUUCGGAGAGCCCCAGAAACCAUAAUGGGCGGUGAAUAGGGGGCGCAAUUUUUCGGGCUCAAAUUCAGCCGUUUUGACCCUCAAACGGGCUGCGGAAAGUUAUGGCACGUAAAAAAGAUCGAAAGCGGAUUCUCAAGGUGUUUUUGAUGCUUUCUUAACGCCGUUAACCUCGAUGCACUUUUUCGCUCGAAACAAAACGGCAAGAAAAUCAUGCGCGCCCCACGGCCUUACACUUGGAUUGGCCGCGAAAAGGAUAUAUAGAAACGAGAGUGAUGUACUGACGGGUGCGAUCAUACCAGCACUAAUGCACCGGAUCCCAUCAGAACUCCGCAGUUAAGCGUGCUUGGGCGAGAGUAGUACUAGGAUGGGUGACCUCCCGGGAAGUCCUCGUGUUGCACCCCUUUUUUUUUUUAAUUUUUUUUUAGCCUAAAACGAGUCUAAACUUGAAAACCUCAUAACUUUUGAACCGUGAGGAACUACGUCGCCCAUAGCACCAUUUCGGAGAGCCCCAGAAACCAUAAUGGGCGGUGAAUAGGGGGCGCAAUUUUUCGGGCUCAAAUUCAGCCGUUUUGACCCUCAAACGGGCUGCGGAAAGUUAUGGCACGUAAAAAAGAUCGAAAGCGGAUUCUCAAGGUGUUUUUGAUGCUUUCUUAACGCCGUUAACCUCGAUGCACUUUUUCGCUCGAAACAAAACGGCAAGAAAAUCAUGCGCGCCCCACGGCCUUACACUUGGAUUGGCCGCGAAAAGGAUAUAUAGAAACGAGAGUGAUGUACUGACGGGUGCGAUCAUACCAGCACUAAUGCACCGGAUCCCAUCAGAACUCCGCAGUUAAGCGUGCUUGGGCGAGAGUAGUACUAGGAUGGGUGACCUCCCGGGAAGUCCUCGUGUUGCACCCCUUUUUAUUUUUUAAUUUUUUUUUAGCCUAAAACGAGUCUAAACUUGAAAACCUCAUAACUUUUGAACCGUGAGGAACUACGUCGCCCAUAGCACCAUUUCGGAAGCCCAGAAACCAUAAUGGGCGGUGAAUAGGGGGCGCAAUUUUUCGGGCUCAAAUUCAGCCGUUUUGACCCUCAAACGGGCUGCGGAAAGUUAUGGCACGUAAAAAAGAUCGAAAGCGGAUUCUCAAGGUGUUUUUGAUGCUUUCUUAACGCCGUUAACCUCGAUGCACUUUUUCGCUCGAAACAAAACGGCAAGAAAAUCAUGCGCGCCCCACGGCCUUACACUUGGAUUGGCCGCGAAAAGGAUAUAUAGAAACGAGAGUGAUGUACUGACGGGUGCGAUCAUACCAGCACUAAUGCACCGGAUCCCAUCAGAACUCCGCAGUUAAGCGUGCUUGGGCGAGAGUAGUACUAGGAUGGGUGACCUCCCGGGAAGUCCUCGUGUUGCACCCCUUUUUAUUUUUUAAUUUUUUUUUAGCCUAAAACGAGUCUAAACUUGAAAACCUCAUAACUUUUGAACCGUGAGGAACUACGUCGCCCAUAGCACCAUUUCGGAAGCCCCAGAAACCAUAAUGGGCGGUGAAUAGGGGGCGCAAUUUUUCGGGCUCAAAUUCAGCCGUUUUGACCCUCAAACGGGCUGCGGAAAGUUAUGGCACGUAAAAAAGAUCGAAAGCGGAUUCUCAAGGUUGUUUUGAUGCUUUCUUAACGCCGUUAACCUCGAUGCACUUUUUCGCUCGAAACAAAACGGCAAGAAAAUCAUGCGCGCCCCACGGCCUUACACUUGGAUUGGCCGCGAAAAGGAUAUAUAGAAACGAGAGUGAUGUACUGACGGGUGCGAUCAUACCAGCACUAAUGCACCGGAUCCCAUCAGAACUCCGCAGUUAAGCGUGCUUGGGCGAGAGUAGUACUAGGAUGGGUGACCUCCCGGGAAGUCCUCGUGUUGCACCCCUUUUUAUUUUUUAAUUUUUUUUUAGCCUAAAACGAGUCUAAACUUGAAAACCUCAUAACUUUUGAACCGUGAGGAACUACGUCGCCCAUAGCACCAUUUCGGAAGCCCCAGAAACCAUAAUGGGCGGUGAAUAGGGGGCGCAAUUUUUCGGGCUCAAAUUCAGCCGUUUUGACCCUCAAACGGGCUGCGGAAAGUUAUGGCACGUAAAAAAGAUCGAAAGCGGAUUCUCAAGGUGUUUUUGAUGCUUUCUUAACGCCGUUAACCUCGAUGCACUUUUUCGCUCGAAACAAAACGGCAAGAAAAUCAUGCGCGCCCCACGGCCUUACACUUGGAUUGGCCGCGAAAAGGAUAUAUAGAAACGAGAGUGAUGUACUGACGGGUGCGAUCAUACCAGCACUAAUGCACCGGAUCCCAUCAGAACUCCGCAGUUAAGCGUGCUUGGGCGAGAGUAGUACUAGGAUGGGUGACCUCCCGGGAAGUCCUCGUGUUGCACACCUUUUUAUUUUAUAAUUUUUUUUAGCCUAAAACGAGUCUAAACAUGAAAACCUCAUAAAUUUUGAACCGUGAGGAACUACGUCGCCCAUAGCACCAUUGAAAAAGCCCCAGAAACCAUAAUGGGCGGUGAAUAGGGGGCGCAAUGUUUCGGGCUGAAAUUCAGCCGUUUUGACCCUCAAACGGGCUGCGGAAAGUUAUGGCACGUAAAAAAGAUCGAAAGCGGAUUCUCAAGGUGUUUUUGAUGCUUUCUUAACGCCGUUAACCUCGAUGCACUUUUUCGCUCGAAACAAAACGGCAAGAAAAUCAUGCGCGCCCCACGGCCUUACACUUGGAUUGGCCGCGAAAAGGAUAUAUAGAAACGAGAGUGAUGUACUGACGGGUGCGAUCAUACCAGCACUAAUGCACCGGAUCCCAUCAGAACUCCGCAGUUAAGCGUGCUUGGGCGAGAGUAGUACUAGGAUGGGUGACCUCCCGGGAAGUCCUCGUGUUGCACCCCUUUUUAUUUUUUAAUUUUUUUUUAGCCUAAAACGAGUCUAAACUUGAAAACCUCAUAACUUUUGAACCUUGAGGAACUACGUCGCCCAUAGCACCAUUUCGGAAAGCCCCAUAAAACCAUAAUGGGCGGUGAAUAGGGGGCGCAAUUUUUCGGGCUCAAAUUCAGCCGUUUUGACCCUCAAACGGGCUGCGGAAAGUUAUGGCACGUAAAAAAGAUCGAAAGCGGAUUUUCAAGGUGUUUUUGAUGCUUUCUUAACGCCGUUAACCUCGAUGCACUUUUUCGCUCGAAACAAAACGGCAAGAAAAUCAUGCGCGCCCCACGGCCUUACACUUGGAUUGGCCGCGAAAAGGAUAUAUAGAAACGAGAGUGAUGUACUGACGGGUGCGAUCAUACCAGCACUAAUGCACCGGAUCCCAUCAGAACUCCGCAGUUAAGCGUGCUUGGGCGAGAGAGUAGUACUAGGAUGGGUGACCUCCCGGGAAGUCCUCGUGUUGCACCCCUUUUUAUUUUUUAAUUUUUUUUUAGCCUAAAACGAGUCUAAACUUGAAAACCUCAUAACUUUUGAACCGUGAGGAACUACGUCGCCCAUAGCACCAUUUCGGAGAGCCCCAGAAACCAUAAUGGGCGGUGAAUAGGGGGCGCAAUUUUUCGGGCUCAAAUUCAGCCGUUUUGACCCUCAAACGGGCUGCGGAAAGUUAUGGCACGUAAAAAAGAUCGAAAGCGGAUUCUCAAGGUGUUUUUGAUGCUUUCUUAACGCCGUUAACCUCGAUGCACUUUUUCGCUCGAAACAAAACGGCAAAAAAAAUCAUGUGGGCCCCACGGCCUUACACUUGGAUUGGCCGCGAAAAGGAUAUAUAGAAACGAGAGUGAUGUACUGACGGGUGCGAUCAUACCAGCACUAAUGCACCGGAUCCCAUCAGAACUCCGCAGUUAAGCGUGCUUGGGCGAGAGUAGUACUAGGAUGGGUGACCUCCCGGGAAGUCCUCGUGUUGCACCCCUUUUUAUUUUUUAAUUUUUUUUUUUGCCUAAAACGAGUCUAAACUUGAAAACCUCAUAACUUUUGAACCGUGAGGAACUACGUCGCCCAUAGCACCAUUUCGGAAAGCCCCAGAAACCAUAAUGGGCGGUGAAUAGGGGGCGCAAUUUUUCGGGCUCAAAUUCAGCCGUUUUGACCCUCAAACGGGCUGCGGAAAGUUAUGGCACGUAAAAAAGAUCGAAAGCGGAUUCUCAAGGUGUUUUGAUGCUUUCUUAACGCCGUUAACCUCGAUGCACUUUUUCGCUCGAAACAAAACGGCAAGAAAAUCAUGCGCGCCCCACGGCCUUACACUUGGAUUGGCCGCGAAAAGGAUAUAUAGAAACGAGAGUGAUGUACUGACGGGUGCGAUCAUACCAGCACUAAUGCACCGGAUCCCAUCAGAACUCCGCAGUUAAGCGUGCUUGGGCGAGAGUAGUACUAGGAUGGGUGACCUCCCGGGAAGUCCUUGUGUUGCACCCCUUUUAAUUUUUUAAUUUUUUUUUAGCCUAAAACGAGUCUAAACUUGAAAACCUCAUAACUUUUGAACCGUGAGGAACUACGUCGCCCAUAGCACCAUUUCGGAGAGCCCCAGAAACCAUAAUGGGCGGUGAAUAGGGGCGCAAUUUUUCGGGCUCAAAUUCAGCCGUUUUGACCCUCAAACGGGCUGCGGAAAGUUAUGGCACGUAAAAAAGAUCGAAAGCGGAUUCUCAAGGUGCUUUUGAUGCUUUCUUAACGCCGUUAACCUCGAUGCACUUUUUCGCUCGAAACAAAACGGCAAGAAAAUCAUGCGCGCCCCACGGCCUUACACUUGGAUUGGCCGCGAAAAGGAUAUAUAGAAACGAGAGUGAUGUACUGACGGGUGCGAUCAUACCAGCACUAAUGCACCGGAUCCCAUCAGAACUCCGCAGUUAAGCGUGCUUGGGCGAGAGUAGUACUAGGAUGGGUGACCUCCCGGGAAGUCCUCGUGUUGCACCCCUUUUAUUUUUUAAUUUUUUUUUGCCUAAAACGAGUCUAAACUUGAAAACCUCAUAACUUUUGAACCGUGAGGAACUACGUCGCCCAUAGCACCAUUUCGGAGAGCCCCAGAAACCAUAAUGGGCGGUGAAUAGGGGGCGCAAUUUUUCGGGCUCAAAUUCAGCCGUUUUGACCCUCAAACGGGCUGCGGGGAAAGUUAUGGCACGUAAAAAAGAUCGAAAGCGGAUUCUCAAGGUGCUUUUGAUGCUUUCUUAACGCCGUUAACCUCGAUGCACUUUUUCGCUCGAAACAAAACGGCAAGAAAAUCAUGCGCGCCCCACGGCCUUACACUUGGAUUGGCCGCGAAAAGGAUAUAUAGAAACGAGAGUGAUGUACUGACGGGUGCGAUCAUACCAGCACUAAUGCACCGGAUCCCAUCAGAACUCCGCAGUAAGCGUGCUUGGGCGAGAGUAGUACUAGGAUGGGUGACCUCCCGGGAAGUCCUCGUGUUGCACCCCUUUUUAUUUUUUAAUUUUUUUUUAGCCUAAAACGAGUCUAAACUUGAAAACCUCAUAACUUUUGAACCGUGAGGAACUACGUCGCCCAUAGCACCAUUUCGGAAAGCCCCAGAAACCAUAAUGGGCGGUGAAUAGGGGGCGCAAUUUUUCGGGCUCAAAUUCAGCCGUUUUGACCCUCAGACGGGCUGCGGAAAGUUAUGGCACGUAAAAAAGAUCGAAAGCGGAUUCUCAAGUGUUUUGUGUGCUUUCUUAACGCCGUUAACCUCGAUGCACUUUUUCGCUCGAAACAAAACGGCAAGAAAAUCAUGCGCGCCCCACGGCCUUACACUUGGAUUGGCCGCGAAAAGGAUAUAUAGAAACGAGAGUGAUGUACUGACGGGUGCGAUCAUACCAGCACUAAUGCACCGGAUCCCAUCAGAACUCCGCAGUUAAGCGUGCUUGGGCGAGAGUAGUACUAGGAUGGGUGACCUCCCGGGAAGUCCUCGUGUUGCACCCCUUUUUUUUUUUAAUUUUUUUUUAGCCUAAAACGAGUCUAAACUUGAAAACCUCAUAACUUUUGAACCGUGAGGAACUACGUCGCCCAUAGCACCAUUUCGGAAAGCCCCAGAAACCAUAAUGGGCGGUGAAUAGGGGGCGCAAUUUUUCGGGCUCAAAUUCAGCCGUUUUGACCCUCAAACGGGCUGCGGAAAGUUAUGGCACGUAAAAAAGAUCGAACUAUGGAUUCUGAAGGUGUUUUUGAUGCUUUCUUAACGCCGUUAACCUCGAUGCACUUUUUCGCUCGAAACAAAACGGCAAGAAAAUCAUGCGCGCCCCACGGCCUUACACUUGGAUUGGCCGCGAAAAGGAUAUAUAGAAACAAGAGUGAUGUACUGUCGGGUGCGAUCAUACCAGCACUAAUGCACCGGAUCCCAUCAGAACUCCGCAGUUAAGCGUGCUUGGGCGAGAGUAGUACUAGGAUGGGUGACCUCCCGGGAAGUCCUCGUGUUGCACCCCUUUUUUUUUUUAAUUUUUUUUUGCCUAAAACGAGUCUAAACUGAAAACCCAUAACUUUUGAACCGUGAGGAACUACGUCGCCCAUAGCACCAUUUCGGAAGAGCCCCAGAAACCAUAAUGGGCGGUGAAUAGGGGGCGCAAUUUUUCGGGCUCAAAUUCAGCCGUUUUGACCCUCAAACGGGCUGCGGAAAGUUAUGGCACGUAAAAAAGAUCGAAAGCGGAUUCUCAAGGUGUUUUUGAUGCUUUCUUAACGCCGUUAACCUCGAUGCACUUUUUUUCGCUCGAAACAAAACGGCAAGAAAAUCAUGCGCGCCCCACGGCCUUACACUUGGAUUGGCCGCGAAAAGGAUAUAUAGAAACGAGAGUGAUGUACUGACGGGUGCGAUCAUACCAGCACUAAUGCACCGGAUCCCAUCAGAACUCCGCAGUCAAGCGUGCUUGGGCGAGAGUAGUACUAGGAUGGGUGACCUCCCGGGAAGUCCUCGUGUUGCACCCCUUUUUAUUUUUUUAAUUUUUUUUUAGCCUAAAACGAGUCUAAACUUGAAAACCUCAUAACUUUUGAACCGUGAGGAACUACGUCGCCCAUAGCACCAUUUCGGAGAGCCCCAGAAACCAUAAUGGGCGGUGAAUAGGGGGCGCAAUUUUUCGGGCUCAAAUUCAGCCGUUUUGACCCUCAAACGGGCUGCGGAAAGUUAUGGCACGUAAAAAAGAUCGAAAGCGGAUUCUCAAGUGUUUUUGAUGCUUUCUUAACGCCGUUAACCUCGAUGCACUUUUUCGCUCGAAACAAAACGGCAAGAAAAUCAUGCGCGCCCCACGGCCUUACACUUGGAUUGGCGCGAAAAGGAUAUAUAGAAACGAGAGUGAUGUACUGACGGGUGCGAUCAUACCAGCACUAAUGCACCGGAUCCCAUCAGAACUCCGCAGUUAAGCGUGCUUGGGCGAGAGUAGUACUAGGAUGGGUGACCUCCCGGGAAGUCCUCGUGUGUUGCACCCCUUUUUAUUUUUAAUUUUUUUUAGCCUAAAACGAGUCUAAACUUGAAAACCUCAUAACUUUUGAACCGUGAGGAACUACGUCGCCCAUAGCACCAUUUCGGAAAGCCCCAGAAACCAUAAUGGGCGGUGAAUAGGGGGCGCAAUUUUUCGGGCUCAAAUUCAGCCGUUUUGACCCUCAAACGGGCUGCGGAAAGUUAUGGCACGUAAAAAAGAUCGAAAGCGGAUUCUCAAGGUGUUUUUGAUGCUUUCUUAACGCCGUUAACCUCGAUGCACUUUUUCGCUCGAAACAAAACGGCAAGAAAAUCAUGCGCGCCCACGGCCUUACACUUGGAUUGGCCGCGAAAAGGAUAUAUAGAAAGAAACGAGUGAUGUACUGACGGGUGCGAUCAUACCAGCACUAAUGCACCGGAUCCCAUCAGAACUCCGCAGUUAAGCGUGCUUGGGCGAGAGUAGUACUAGGAUGGGUGACCUCCCGGGAAGUCCUCGUGUUGCACCCCUUUUUAUUUUUUAAUUUUUUUUUAGCCUAAACGAGUCUAAACUUGAAAACCUCAUAACUUUUGAACCGUGAGGAACUACGUCGCCCAUAGCACCAUUUCGGAAAGCCCCAGAAACCAUAAUGGGCGGGUGAAUAGGGGGCGCAAUUUUUCGGGCUCAAAUUCAGCCGUUUUGACCCUCAAACGGGCUGCGGAAAGUUAUGGCACGUAAAAAAGAUCGAAAGCGGAUUCUCAAGGUGUUUUGAUGCUUUCUUAACGCCGUUAACCUCGAUGCACUUUUUCGCUCGAAACAAACGGCAAGAAAAUCAUGCGCGCCCCACGGCCUUACACUUGGAUUGGCCGCGAAAAGGAUAUAUAGAAACGAGAGUGAUGUACUGACGGGUGCGAUCAUACCAGCACUAAUGCACCGGAUCCAUCAGAACUCCGCAGUUAAGCGUGCUUGGGCGAGAGUAGUACUAGGAUGGGUGACCUCCCGGGAAGUCCUCGUGUUGCACCCCUUUUUAUUUUUUAAUUUUUUUUUAGCCUAAAACGAGUCUAAACUUGAAAACCCCAUAACUUUUGAACCGUGAGGAACUACGUCGCCCAUAGCACCAUUUCGGAAAGCCCCAGAAACCAUAAUGGGCGGUGAAUAGGGGGCGCAAUUUUUCGGGCUCAAAUUCAGCCGUUUUGACCCUCAAACGGGCUGCGGAAAGUUAUGGCAGAAAAAAAAAGACCGAAAGCGGAUUUUCAAGGUGUUUUUGAUGCUUUCUUAACGCCGUUAACCUCGAUGCACUUUUUCGCUCGAAACAAAACGGCAAGAAAAUCAUGCGCGCCCCACGGCCUUACACUUGGAUUGGCCGCGAAAAGGAUAUAUAGAAACGAGAGUGAUGUACUGUCGGGUGCGAUCAUACCAGCACUAAUGCACCGGAUCCCAUCAGAACUCCGCAGUUAAGCGUGCUUGGGCGAGAGUAGUACUAGGAUGGGUGACCUCCCGGGAAGUCCUCGUGUUGCACCCCUUUUUAUUUUUUAAUUUUUUUAGCCUAAAACGAGUCUAAACUUGAAAACCUCAUAACUUUUGAACCGUGAGGAACUACGUCGCCCAUAGCACCAUUUCGGAAAGCCCCAGAAACCAUAAUGGGCGGUGAAUAGGGGGCGCAAUUUUCGGGCUCAAAUUCAGCCGUUUUGACCCUCAAACGGGCUGCGGAAAGUUAUGGCACGUAAAAAAGAUCGAAAGCGGAUUCUCAAGGUGUUUUUAAUGCUUUCUUAACGCCGUUAACCUCGAUGCACUUUUUCGCUCGAAACAAAACGGCAAGAAAUCAUGCGCGCCCCACGGCCUUACACUUGGAUUGGCCGCGAAAAGGAUAUAUAGAAACGAGAGUGAUGUACUGACGGGUGCGAUCAUACCAGCACUAAUGCACCGGAUCCCAUCAGAACUCCGCAGUUAAGCGUGCUUGGGCGAGAGUAGUAGUACUAGGAUGGGUGACCUCCCGGGAAGUCCUCGUGUUGCACCCCUUUUAUUUUUUAAUUUUUUUUUGCCUAAAACGAGUCUAAACUUGAAAAACCUCAUAACUUUUGAACCGUGAGGAACUACGUCGCCCAUAGCACCAUUUCGGAAAGCCCCAGAAACCAUAAUGGGCGGUGAGGUGAAUAGGGGGCGCAAUUUUUCGGGCUCAAAUUCAGCCGUUUGACCCUCAAACGGGCUGCGGGCGGAAAGUUAUGGCACGUAAAAAAGAUCGAAAGCGGAUUCUCAAGGUGUUUUUGAUGCUUUCUAACGCCGUUAACCUCGAUGCACUUUUUCGCUCGAAACAAAACGGCAAGAAAAUCAUGCGGCCCCACGGCCUUACACUUGGAUUGGCCGCGAAAAGGAUAUAUAGAAACGAGAGUGAUGUACUGACGGGUGCGAUCAUACCAGCACUAAUGCACGGAUCCCAUCAGAACUCCGCAGUUAAGCGUGCUUGGGCGAGAGUAGUACUAGGAUGGGGACCUCCCGGGAAGUCCUCGUGUUGCACCCCUUUUUAUUUUUUAAUUUUUUUUUAGCCUAAAACGAGUCUAAACUUGAAAACCUCAUAACUUUUGAACCGUGAGGAACUACGUCGCCCAUAGCACCAUUUCGGAAAGCCCCAGAAACCAUAAUGGCGGGUGAUGAAGGGGCGCAAUUUUCGGGCUCAAAUUCAGCCGUUUUGACCCUCAAACGGGCUGCGGAAAGUUAUGGCACGUAAAAAAGAUCGAAAGCGGAUUCUCAAGGUGUUUUUGAUGCUUUCUUAACGCCGUUAACCUCGAUGCACUUUUUCGCUCGAAACAAAACGGCAAGAAAAUCAUGCGCGCCCCCACGGCCUUACACUUGGAUUGGCCGCGCGAAAAGGAUAUAUAGAAACGAGAGUGAUGUACUGUCGGGUGCGAUCAUACCAGCACUAAUGCACCGGAUCCCAUCAGAACUCCGCAGUUAAGCGUGCUUGGGCGAGAGUAGUACUAGGAUGGGUGACCUCCCGGGAAGUCCUCGUGUUGCACCCCUUUUUAUUUUUUAAUUUUUUUUAGCCUAAAACGAGUAUAAACUUGAAAACCUGAAACUUUUGAACCGUGAGGAACUACGUCGCCCAUAGCACCAUUUCGGAGAGCCCCAGAAACCAUAAUGGGCGGUGAAUAGGGGGCGCAAUUUUUCGGGCUCAAAUUCAGCCGUUUUGACCCUCAAACGGGCUGCGGAAAGUUAUGGCACGUAAAAAAGAUCGAAAGCGGAUUCUCAAGGUGUUUUUGAUGCUUUCUUAACGCCGUUAACCUCGAUGCACUUUUUCGCUCGAAACAAAACGGCAAAAAAAAUCAUGUGGGCCCCACGGCCUUACACUUGGAUUGGCCGGGGAAAGGAUAUAUAGAAACGAGAGUGAUGUACUGACGGGUGCGAUCAUACCAGCACUAAUGCACCGGAUCCCAUCAGAACUCCGCAGUGAAGCGUGCUUGGGCGAGAGUAGUAUUAGGAUGGGUGACCUCCCGGGAAGUCCUCGUGUUGCACCCCUUUUUAUUUUAUAAUUUUUUUUUAGCCUAAAACGAGUCUAAACUUGAAAACCUCAUAACUUUUGAACCGUGAGGAACUACGUCGCCCAUAGCACCAUUUCGGAAAGCCCCAGAAACCAUAAUGGUGGUGCGGUGAAUAGGGGGCAAUCGCAAUUUUUCGGGCUCAAAUUCAGCCGUUUUGACCCUCAAACGGGCUGCGGAAAGUUAUGGCACGUAAAAAAGAUCGAAAGCGGAUUCUCAAGGUGUUUUUGAUGCUUUCUUAACGCCGUUAACCUCGAUGCACUUUUUCGCUCGAAACAAAACGGCAAGAAAAUCAUGCGCGCCCCCACGGCCUUACACUUGGAUUGGCCGCGAAAAGGAUAUAUAGAAACGAGAGUGAUGUACUGACGGGUGCGAUCAUACCAGCACUAAUGCACCGGAUCCCAUCAGAACUCAGCAGUUAAGCGUGCUUGGGCGAGAGUAGUACUAGGAUGGGUGACCUCCCGGGAAGUCCUGUGUGCACCCCUUUUAUUUUUUAAUUUUUUUUUAGCCUAAAACGAGUCUAAACUUGAAAACCUCAUAACUUUUGAACCGUGAGGAACUACGUCGCCCAUAGCACCAUUUCGGAAAGCCCCAGAAACCAUAAUGGGGUGAAUAGGGGGCGCAAUUUUCGGGCUCAAAUUCAGCCGUUUUGACCCUCAAACGGGCUGCGGAAAGUUAUGGCACGUAAAAAGAUCGAAAGCGGAUUCUCAAGGUGUUUUUGAUGCUUUCUUAACGCCGUUAACCUCGAUGCACUUUUCGCUCGAAACAAAACGGCAAGAAAAAUCAUGCGCGCCCCACGGCCUUACACUUGGAUUGGCCGCGAAAAGGAUAUAUAGAAACGAGAGUGAUGUACUGACGGGUGCGAUCAUACCAGCACUAAUGCACGGAUCCCAUCAGAACUCCGCAGUGAAAGCGUGCUUGGGCGAGAGUAGUACUAGGAUGGGUGACCUCCCGGGAAGUCCUCGUGUUGCACCCCUUUUUAUUUUUAAAUUUUUUUUUAGCCUAAAACGAGUCUAAACUUGAAAACCUCAUAACUUUUGAACCGUGAGGAACUACGUCGCCCAUAGCACCAUUUCCGGAGAGCCCCAGAAACCAUAAUGGGCGGUGAAUAGGGGGCGCAAUUUUUCGGGCUCAAAUUCAGCCGUUUUGACCCUCAAACGGGCUGCGGAAAGUUAUGGCACGUAAAAAAGAUCGAAAGCGGAUUCUCAAGGUGUUUUGAUGCUUUCUUAACGCCGUUAACCUCGAUGCACUUUUUCGCUUCGAAACAAAACGGCAAGAAAAUCAUGCGCGCCCCACGGCCUUACACUUGGAUUGGCCGCGAAAAGGAUAUAUAGAAACGAGAGUGAUGUACUGACGGGUGCGAUCAUAUACCAGCACUAAUGCACCGGAUCCCAUCAGAACUCCGCAGUUAAGCGUGCUUGGGCGAGAGUAGUACUAGGAUGGGUGACCUCCCGGGAAGUCCUCGUGUUGCACCCCUUUUAUUUUUUAAUUUUUUUUUGCCUAAAACGAGUCUAAACUUGAAAACCUCAUAACUUUUGAACCGUGAGGAACUACGUCGCCCAUAGCACCAUUUCGGAGAAGCCCCAGAAACCAUAAUGGGCGGUGAAUAGGGGGCGCAAUUUUUCGGGCUCAAUUCAGCCGUUUUGACCCUCAAACGGGCUGCGGAAAGUUAUGGCACGUAAAAAAAGAUCGAAAGCGGAUUCUCAAGGUGUUUUUGAUGCUUUCUUAACGCCGUAACCUCGAUGCACUUUUUCGCUCGAACAAAACGGCAAGAAAAUCAUGCGCGCCCCACGGCCUUACACUUGGAUUGGCCGCGAAAAGGAUAUAUAGAAACGAGAGUGAUGUACUGACGGGUGCGAUCAUACCAGCACUAAUGUACCGGAUCCCAUCAGAACUCCGCAGUUAAGCGCGCUUGGGCGAGAGUAGUAUUAGGAUGGGUGACCUCCCGGGAAGUCUUCGUGUUGCACCCCUUUUUAUUUUAUAAUUUUUUUAGCCUAAAACGAGUCUAAACUUGAAAACCUCAUAAAUUUUGAACCGUGAGGAACUACGUCGCCCAUAGCACCAUUUCGGAAAGUCCCAGAAACCAUAAUGGGCGGUGAAUAGGGGGCGCAAUUUUUCGGGCUGAAAUUCAGCCGUUUUGACCCUCAAACGGGCUGCGGAAAGUUAUGGCACGUAAAAAGAUCGAAAGCGGAUUCUCAAUGGUUUUUGAUGCUUUCUUAACGCCGUUAACCUCGAUGCACUUUUUCGCUCGAAACAAAACGGCAAGAAAAUCAUGCGCCCCCACGGCCUUACACUUGGAUUGGCCGCGAAAAGGAUAUAUAGAAACGAGAGUGAUGUACUGACGGGUGCGAUCAUACCAGCACUAAUGCACCGGAUCCCAUCAGAACUCCGCAGUUAAGCGUGCUUGGGCGAGAGUAGUACUAGGAUGGGUGACCUCCCGGGAAGUCCUCGUGUUGCACCCCUUUUUAUUUUUUAAUUUUUUUUUGCCUAAAACGAGUCUAAAACUUGAAAACCUCAUAACUUUUGAACCGUGAGGAACUACGUCGCCCAUAAGCACCAUUUCGGAAAGCCCCAGAAACCAUAAUGGCGGGAAUGCGGUGAAUAGGGGGCGCAAUUUUUCGGGCUCAAAUUCAGCCGUUUUGACCCUCAGACGGGCUGCGGAAAGUUAUGGCACGUAAAAAAGAUCGAAAGCGGAUUCUCAAGGUGUUUUUGAUGCUUUCUUAACGCCGUUAACCUCGAUGCACUUUUUUGCUCGAAACAAAACGGCAAGAAAAUCAUGCGCGCCCCACGGCCUUACACUUGGAUUGGCUGCGAAAAGGAUAUAUAGAAACGAGAGUGAUGUACUGUCGGCUGCGAUCAUACCAGCACUAAUGCACCGGAUCCCAUCAGAACUCCGCAGUGAAGCGUGCUUGGGCGAGAGUAGUACUAGGAUGGGUGACCUCCCGGGAAGUCCUCGUGUUGCACCCCUUUUUAUUUUUUAAUUUUUUUUUAGCCUAAAACGAGUCUAAACUUGAAAACCCAUAACUUUUGAACCGUGAGGAACUACGUCGCCCAUAGCACAUUUCGGAAGCCCCAGAAACCAUAAUGGGCGGUGAAUAGGGGGCGCAAUUUUCGGGCUCAAAAUUCAGCCGUUUUUGACCCUCAACGGGCUGGCGAAAAGUUAUGGCACGUAAAAAAGAUCGAAAGCGGAUUCUCAAGGUGUUUUUGAUGCUUUCUUAACGCCGUUAACUCGAUGCACUUUUCGCUCGAAACAAAACGGCAAGAAAAAUCAUGCGCGCCCCACGGCCUUACACUUGGAUUGGCCGCGAAAAGGAUAUAUAGAAACGAGAGUGAUGUACUGACGGGUGCGAUCAUACCAGCACUAAUGCACCGGAUCCCAUCAGAACUCCGCAGUUAAGCGUGCUUGGGCGAGAGUAGUACUAGGAUGGGUGACCUCCCGGAAGUCCUCUGUUGCACCCCUUUUUAUUUUUUUAAUUUUUUUUUAGGCCUAAAACGAGUCUAAACUUGAAAACCCAUAACUUUUGAACCGUGAGGAACUACGUCGCCCAUAGCACCAUUUCGGAAAGCCCCAGAAAACCAUAAGGGCGGGUGGUGAAUAGGGGGCGCAAUUUUUUCGGGCUCAAAUUCAGCCGUUUUGACCCUCAAACGGGCUGCGGAAAGUUUAUGGCACGUAAAAAAGAUCGAAAGCGGAUUCUCAAGGUGUUUUGAGCUUUCUUAACGCCGUUAACCUCGAUGCACUUUUUCGCUCGAAACAAAACGGCAAGAAAAUCAUGCGCGCCCCACGGCCUUACACUUGGAUCAUACCAGCACUAAUGCACCGGAUCCCAUCAGAACUCCGCAGUUAAGCGUGCUUGGGCGAGAGUAGUACUAGGAUGGGUGACCCUCCGGGAAGUCCUCGUGUUGCACCCCCUUUUUAUUUUUUAAUUUUUUUUUAGCCUAAAACGAGUCUAAACUUGAAAAACCUCAUAACUUUUGAACCGUGAGGAACUACGUCGCCCAUAGCACCAUUUCGGAAAGCCCCAGAAACCAUAAUGGGCGGGUGAAUAGGGGGGGCGCAAUUUUUCGGGCUCAAAUUCAGCCGUUUUGACCCUCAAACGGGCUGCGGAAAGUUAUGGCACGUAAAAAAGAUCGAAAGAUGAUUCUCAAGGUGUUUUUUGCUUUCUUUAACGCCGUUAACCUCGAUAAUUUCGCUUCUCGCUCGAAACAAAACGGCAAGAAAAUCAUGUGGCGCCCCACGGCCUUACACUUGGAUUGGCCGCGAAAAGGAUAUAUAGAAACGAGAGUGAUGUACUGACGGGUGCGAUCAUACCACGCAAUGCACCGGAUCCCAUCAGAACUCCGCAGAUUAAGCGUGCUUGGGCGAGAGUAGUACUAGGAUGGGUGACCUCCCGGGAAGUCCUCGUGUUGCACCCCUUUUUAUUUUUUAAUUUUUUUUUAGCCUAAACGAGUCUAAACUUGAAAACCUCAUAACUUUUGAACCGUGAGGAACUACGCCCCAUAGCACCAUUUCGGAAAGCCCCAGAAACCAUAAUGGGCGGUGAAUAGGGGGCGCAAUUUUUCGGGCUCAAAUUCAGCCGUUUUGACCCUCAAACGGGCUGCGGAAAGUUAUGGCACGUAAAAAAGAUCGAAAGCGGAUUCUCAAGGUGUUUUUGAUGCUUUCUUAACGCCGUUAACCUCGAUGCACUUUUUCGCUCGAAACAAAACGGCAAGAAAAUCAUGUGCGCCCCCACGGCCUACACUUGGAUUGGGCCGCGAAAAGGAUAUAUAGAAACGAGAGUGAUGUACUGACGGGUGCGAUCAUACACAGCACUAAUGCAACCGAUAUCAGAACUCCACGCAGUUAGCGUGUUGGGCUUGGCGAGAGUAGUACUAGGAUGGGUGACCUCCCGGGAAGACUCGUCCUCGUGUUGCCCCCUUUUUAUUUUUUAUUUUUUUAAUUUUUUUUUUACUAAACGAGUCUAAACUUGAAACCUCAUAACUUUUGAACCGUGAGGAACUAGACGUCGCCCAUAGCACCAUUUCGGAAAGCCCCAGAAACACCAUAAGGCGGUGAAUAGGGGGCGCAAUUUUUCGGGCUCAAAUUCAGCCGUUUUGACCCUCAAACGGGCUGCGGAAAGUUAUGGCACGUAAAAAAGAUCGAAAGCGGAUUCUCAAGGUGGUUUUUGAUGCUUUCUUAACGCCGUUAACCUCGAUGCACUUUUUCGCUCGAAACAAAACGGCAAAGAAAAUCAUGCGGGCCCCCACGGCCUUACACUUGGAUUGGCCGCGGAAAGGAUAUAUAGAAACGAGAGUGAUGUACUGACGGGUGCGAUCAUACCAGCACUAAUGCAACCAAUCCCAGAACUCCGCAGUUAAGAGUGUGCUUGGGCGAGAGUAGUACUAGGAUGGGUGACCUCCCGGGAAGUCCUCGUGUUGCACCCCUUUUUUUAUUUUAUAAUUUUUUUUUAGCCUAAAACGAGUCUAAACUUGAAAACCUCAUAACUUUUGAACCGUGAGGAAUACGUCGCCCAUAGCACCAUUUCGGAAGCCCCAGAAACCAUAAUGGGCGGUGGAAUAGGGGGCGCAAUUUUUCGGGCUCAAAUUCAGCCGUUUUGACCCUCAAACGGGCUGCGGAAAGUUAUGGCACGUAAAAAAGAUCGAAAGCGGAUUCUCAAGGUGUUUUUGAUGCUUUCUUAACGCCGUUAACCUCGAUGCACUUUUUCGCUCGAAACAAAACGGCAAAAAAAUCAUGUGGGCCCCACGGCCUUACACUUGGAUUGGCCGCGAAAAGGAUAUAUAGAAACGAGAGUGAUGUACUGACGGGUGCGAUCAUACCAGCACUAAUGCACCGGAUCCCAUCAGAACUCCGCAGUGAAGCGUGCUUGGGCGAGAGGUAGAGUGUAUAGGAUGGGUGACCUCCGGGAAGUCCUCGUGUUGCACCCCUUUUUAUUUUUUAAUUUUUUUUUAGCCUAAACGAGUCUAAACUUGAAAACCUCAUAACUUUUGAACCGUGAGGAACUACGUCGCCAUAGCACCAUUUCGGAAAGCCCCAGAAACCAUAAUGGGCGGUGAAUAGGGGGCGCAAUUUUUCGGGCUCAAAUUCAGCACGUUUUGACCCUCAAACGGGCUGCGGAAAGUUAUGGCACGUAAAAAAGAUCGAAAGCGGAUUCUCAAGGUUGUUUUUGAUGCUUUCUUAACGCCGUUAACCUCGAUGCACUUUUUCGCUCGAAACAAAACGGCAAGAAAAUCAUGCGCGGCCCACGGUUUACACUUGGAUUGGCCGCGAAAAGGAUAUAUUUGAUGUACUGAGAGUGAGUAUGACGGUGCGAUAUACCAGCACUAAUGCACCGGAUCCCAUCAGAACUCCGCAGUUAAGCGUGCUUUGGGGAGAGUAGUACUAGGAUGGGUGACCUCCCGGGAAGUCCUCGUGUUGCACCCUUUUUUAUUUUUAAUUUUUUU
rnacentral:lncRNA from 1 species